GACCAUAAUACUGUAAAUUGUCAUAUUAAAUAUGGAGUAAAAUUUGAACCUCUUCCUACUUGAAACAACAUAUUAACAAAUGUUGGAUAUUAUAAUACCACAAAUGUCAUUACAAACCAUUGCUCCCAGCCCAAGAGCAAAAACUACCAUUCAACUGAAGUGAUCCUCAAUUAAUACUUAAAUUCACACCUGUGACCAUUUCUUGAAUUCUUUUUCGCAUAAUCUUGUAUAUAAUACUUGAAUGAUACACGUUUGCUAGUUGUCCUCCUCAUCAAGUUUAAGCAAACAUUUUCUAGAAGUUCGGAAGUGGAGAUUUUGACCAAGUCUUCGAACACUUGCCAUCUAAGUCAUAUGUCAGAAAUCUCUAACUGCUGAAAUUCUCAGACAUCUAAGUCAUAUGUCAGAUAGCUCUAACUACUGAAAUUUGCAGAAUUUUCUAUAUACUCGGUUCUUUGAAGGUAUAUAUUCACACUAAGCAACCCUUGAAAGCCUUUCUCAAGACAGCUUCAUUCAAGUUCCUCCCAAUAAAUACAAGCUUGUUGAUCCUUUGUUCAUCAGGCCCCCAAGGCUUAGCAGGGCACCCUUCCAACAUGGAAUGCACCCCCUAGAGAGAGAAAGGGAGAGAGAGAGAGA
rnacentral:lncRNA from 1 species